rnacentral:rRNA from 1 species
CCUACGGGUGGCAGCAGUCGAGAAUCAUUCACAAUGGGGGAAACCCUGAUGGUGCGACGCCGCGUGGGGGAAUGAAGGUCUUCGGAUUGUAAACCCCUGUCAUGUGGGAGCAAAUUAAAAAGAUAGUACCACAAGAGGAAGAGACGGCUAACUCUGUGCCAGCAGCCGCGGUAAUACAGAGGUCUCAAGCGUUGUUCGGAAUCACUGGGCGUAAGGCGUGCGUAGGCUGUUUCGUAAGUCGUGUGUGAAAGGCGCGGGCUCAACCCGCGGACGGCACAUGAUACUGCGAGACUAGAGUAAUGGAGGGGGAACCGGAAUUCUCGGUGUAGCAGUGAAAUGCGUAGAUAUCGAGAGAAACACUCGUGGCGAAGGCGGGUUCCUGGACAUUAACUGACGCUGAGGCACGAAGGCCAGGGGAGCGAAAGGGAUUAGAUACCCGGGUAGUC